ensembl:rRNA 5S_rRNA 5S ribosomal RNA
GUCUAAGGCCAUACCACCCUGAACACCUACAAUCUGUCUGAUUUCGGAAGCUAAGCAGGGUCGGACCUGGUUACAACUUCCAUGGGAGACCAAAUGGCGAAGGCGCUGGGCUUUCUUCC